rnacentral:lncRNA from 1 species
UUUAAUGUCGUGAUAGCAAAUAGGGUGAGAGAUCCUUACUUGUUUCGGGGUCUGAAAUCGGCUCUACAAUGCGCGUGCGGGCUGUCCCUAAAUUCCCUGAAUUUUCUCCGGAAAACUGAAACGCACUAUCGGUACCUGCACGUGUCCCAAAAAACCCCAAAUUAGACCCAAGGCCCUUUUUCGGCCAAUAUCGGAAUUCCGACACAGGGGCUCCGCCGUGCUCCGGCGACGGCACCGCUGCCCGUGGCGGCGAUCCACCUCGAGUUGGCCGUUUUCGGCCAAAUUCGGCCAAACUUGCAUUGGUUCCUGCGAUAAAACAACUCUAGGGCCCUCGGUGGGCCAAAAAAUCAUGAAAAACCGAGACUUACCGGCGGCGGAGCUCUCGGGUGCGACGGCUUCUCCAGCGCGAGUCACGAUUUGAUGUUUUACUCCGGUCAACUUGUAGAGAAAAGAACUGUGAUCACAAUGGUGUAAAAAUUGCAUCGAACGGAAACCGGAAAGGACCUCAUCGGAGGCAAAAAUCGAGGGAAACUGCAGUGGUGCUGUUGGACUUCGGCGGUGUUUUCCGGCCGACUGGCCGGUGGUUUGGCUUCGAUUUGGUCAUAGGCAGAUUCAACAUCGAAAAACGAGCCAAGGAGAGAAAAUUUACCUCGUUUGGCGGUCGAAAAACCCUCGGUGCGGUGGCGGCAGCCGGCUCCUCCAGCGUCUGGUUCUUCUUCUCCAGCGAGGCACUGGCAGCUAGGGUUUGGGGUCGGGUGUGGGUGAGGUUAUUUAUAACCU